rnacentral:misc_RNA from 1 species
ACAAACUUGGUCAUUUAGAGGAAGUAAAAGUCGUAACAAGGUUUCCGUAGGUGAACCUGCGGAAGGAUCAUUACAGAGAAAAGAGCUCCGGCUCUGACCUCCAACCCUUUGUUUACUUUACCACUGUUGCCUCGGCGGGUCGUCGACGCCCUUUACGGGGCGCCACCGUCGGCCCUCGCGCUCUCGAGUGCCCGCCGCCAGGCCCCAAAUAUAAACUCUUUGUAAACCCAGUCUUCUGAGAGUAAAUUUAAAUACUUCAAAACUUUCAACAACGGAUCUCUUGGUUCUGGCAUCGAUGAAGAACGCAGC